GCCGGGAGGGCGGCGCCGCUUGGUCUCGUGACGCCGAUGGCGGCGGCUGCGCCGCGGCAGUUGCCGGAACUGGCCGGGUGGGGGGAGCGCUCGUGAGCGGCCAGCGCUUCCGGCCGCCGCGCGGAGCCCGGGGCUGCCCGCUGUUUGCAGAAAGAAGAAAGAUGGAAAGUAAUGCAGUUUUGCUAGAAUCAAAGUCCUCGCCGAUAAAUCUUCUGAACGAAAUGCAUCAGCUGCGUCUUCUGGGCCAUCUUUGUGAUGUGACGGUUAGCGUGGAGUAUCAAGGUGUCAGGGGAGAGUUUGUUGCUCACAAAGCUGUAUUGGCAGCAACAAGCAAAUUCUUCAAGGAGGUGUUUCUUAAUGAGAAGAGCAUGGAUAGCUCAAGGACAAAUGUGUUCUUGAAUGAGGUCCAGGUAGCUGAUUUUGCUUCAUUUCUUGAGUUUGUCUAUACUGCCAGAGUAGAAGUGGAGGAAGACCGAGUGCAACGUAUGCUGGAAAUAGCUGAAAAGCUUAAGUGCUUGGACCUAUCUGAAACCUGUUUUCAGCUGAAGAAGCAGAUGCUUGAAUCAGUGUUGUUGGAGUUGCAAAAUUUCUCUGAAUCGCAGGAUGCUGAGGACGACAGUGGUACCCAAUCCAAUGCUUUAGUUGAGUUGAAGACAACUGUUGUGGCGGAAGGUGACCGUACAGACUGUCCUCCUGAUUCUCCGAAUUCCCCCAUGGAAAGACCCAGCAAUGGAGUGUCUCUUGAGAGGCCAACUGCCAAAUCAAAAGAGAAGGUUGACAAGAAAAAAGAAACCAUGAAGCCUCCCUAUGCCAAAAUCAGAAGGGCCAGUGGGAGGCUGGCUGGGAGGAAAGUAUUUGUAGAAAUCCCCAAAAAGAAGUACACAAGGCGGUUGAGAGAGCAACAGAAGAAUGCUGAGGAUGCUACUGAAGAGAACAAGUUCCCGAAAGACCAAAUCAUGCAUGAUGUGGAGAAGGAAGAGGGGCAAGUGGAAAACAGUGUGAAGCCUGAGAAUGAAGAGUGCAAUGGCAACUUUGAAUUAGAAGACAACUUUAAAAAAUCAGAGGAGGAUAAGAAGAAAAGAGGCGGCAAUUUCAAAUGCAGCACCUGCAAGAAGGAAUUCCUGUAUGAGAAGAGCUUCCUCAAGCACAUAAAGCACAGUCAUGGCAUUGCGGCUGAAAUCAUUUACCGGUGUGAAACCUGCAGUCAGACCUUUGCCAACCGGUGCAAUUUAAAAAGCCACCAACGCCACGUCCACACCAGUGAGCGCCACUUCCCUUGUGAACUCUGUGGUAAGAAGUUCAAGAGGAAGAAGGACGUCAAGAGGCACAUUCUUCAGGUUCAUGAGGGUGGUGGGGAGCGUCAUCAGUGCCAACAGUGUGGAAAGGGUUUGAGCUCCAAAACUGCUUUGAGGCUUCAUGAAAGGACGCAUACAGGCGACAAGCCUUAUGGGUGCACAGAGUGUGAGGCUAAAUUUUCUCAGCCUUCUGCACUUAAAACACACAUGAGAAUCCACACUGGUGAGAAACCUUUUGUCUGUGAGGAAUGUGGUGCAAGAUUCACACAGAAUCACAUGCUUAUAUAUCAUAAAAGGUGUCAUACAGGGGAAAGGCCGUUUAUGUGUGAAACAUGUGGGAAGAGCUUUGCCUCUAAGGAGUACUUGAAACACCAUAAUAGAAUACAUACCGGAUCCAAGCCGUUUAAAUGUGAAGUUUGCUUUAGAACAUUUGCACAGAGGAAUUCGCUUUACCAGCAUAUUAAAGUUCACACGGGUGAACGGCCCUAUUGUUGUGAUCAGUGUGGUAAGCAGUUCACACAGCUCAACGCAUUGCAGCGCCAUCAUCGAAUACACACGGGAGAGAAACCGUUCAUGUGCAAUGCGUGCGGGCGAACAUUCACGGAUAAAUCGACCUUGCGGCGGCACACUUCAAUACAUGAUAAGAAUACACCCUGGAAGUCGUUCCUGGUUAUUGUUGAAGGAGUGUCUAAGAACGAUGAAGGUCACAAGACAGAGCUUCCUGAUGAAGAGUAUCAUGUGUCACCUAAAAUAACAGACAAGUUGCUGUCUUUUUCUGAAAAUGGCCACUAUCAAAACUUGAUAGCUGUCCCAGGGAGUGUGACUGCACUGCACGACAACAAUUCUACCAUCGUGACAGACUGCAAAUCAGAUGGGACUGUGGGACCCCAAGAAGCCCUCAUAGCUACCACCUUAAGUGAGCUUACGGUACUACAUACACAGACAGAUGCUAUUCAGCCACAGCUCCAUGCUCUGGUGAAUAUGGAAUAAUUUGGUAUUGUUCACCAACCCAGCCUAGGGCAUACCUCUAAUAACUUCUGACUUUGCCAGGAACCUACUGAUGUAAUUAGGAGAAAGCAUAGAUCCGAAAGGAAGAGGGACUAGUUGUGGAUGACAUUCAUGGCAUUUAUCUCCUUCUCGCCCUUAAAACACCACAAAUCAGUAAUCUUCAAUUUGCAUAGUCUAGUGGUAGUUCCUUUUCCCGGCUGAUAGUUAUUGUUCUACUUUAUUCAUUUCUUGAUUUUUCUGUACCCUUUGUUAUGAACAUGUGAAAUAAUACAAUCACUUCAGAGAGCAGUUAACCUCAAGCAGAGCAUAUGAAGACCUGCCAUUGUUUUAAUCUCUGGAAAUCUGACCAGGCAGUCUCCUCUUCGCUACCCUUCCUGCAAAGAAGCAGUUUGAGAAAAGCUUGCUGAAAGUUAAGCACAAUCCAUCACUAUGGCCCACUCCUAAAAGACUUACUGGAUUAUACCAAUAUUGAAACACUGCAACCCAUCCCGAAUGAACUCCGAUUAAGAGCUCGAUUCUGCAAACUGGACUACUGACUAUAGCUCUUACUACUGUAUGUAAUCCCACUGAAAUCAAAUGAAAAGCUUUGCAGACAGCCGGGAGAAGGGAAGAACUGAGAGGAGAAAGGCCCAGGAGUGCCAGCAGGAAAAGGAGAGGGAGAUGCCCCAGGCCAUAAUGGGGCUUCUCCGCAGCAAACGCAAAUGCUGCAGACUCUUGUGGACCUACAGGUUCAACAAUCCCAGGCUCACCUCCCUUUGCAGUCCAUGCAGAACUCCAUUGCAGCAUCCACCCUCCACAUUCCACAUGGCAUCAAGGGCCGCCGCCCUACGCCUCUACCACUCCACCCCAGGAGACAUUACGGAAAACCACAGCUUCACAUACACUGACCUGUGACCGCCACAGUGGCUAAAAUGGCCAUGAAUGUUCUUUCCUCUUGAAAAGUUCCGUUCUAUUCAUUCAUGAAGUUUUUAACGUCUUUGCUUUUAAAUUGCACAGAUUUUUCUUUUCACUGAUUUUGUUACUGAAUAAAAUUCUAUUAUUUGGAAAAUAAUUCGUCUUUAUUAGUUCACAGCAUAUGCUGCAGAGUGCCUAGCAGUUCUGAAAUCACCUACUUACUUGUUACUGCGCAGUGUGACAACUCACAGGAUCAGUGACCUACACAAUGUAAUAAUGAUACAUGUACAGCAAGCACUGCAUGGUAUUUAUACCAUUAAUACGUACACUGACAAUGGUAUAGUCCGACAUGUACCCCCAGCACCACACAAUUCCUAAUAGUGCUUCUUCAAAGCCUCUCUGAGUCAUAUACCUGCGAUAAGCUCUUCUAACAGCCCUUGUAUCUGGCGGUUUGAACUCAGCAGACAGCCUCUCCACCUCUGCCCCAAUCCCAGUGGCAACCUUUCCCCCUUUGCUUCACAGAUAUUAUGUAGGACACAGCAGGCAGCUAUAGCCAUUGGGAUAUUUUUCUUACUGAGAUCCUAUCUUGUGAGUAAACAAUGCCGAUGUCCCUUCAAUCUGCCAAAGGCACAUUCAACUUCAUUCUGCACCUGCUGAUCUGGUAGUUGAAUCUUUCCUUGCUGCUGUCAAGGUGGCUGGGAUAUGGCUUCAAGAGUAAGGUUCAGAUUUUGUCAGGGAUAUUUUUAGUAAAAAUCACGGACGGGUCAUGGGCAACAAAGCCCGUGACCUGUCCGUGAUUUUUACUAAAAAUAUCCGACACAAUGGGGAGAGAGGAGGGUCCAGCACCCACAGCAACUAGGGGCUCUGGGGUCCCUGCUCGGCCCGCCAUGGCUGGGCAGAGGCAGGGAGGCUCCUGCGGCCCGCAAGAGCUCUGGGGAACCCCCACCGUCCGUAGGGGCUGGGAGCUCAAGGGUCCCCUUGCUGCCCAGGGCUAGGAGCUGGUGAGGGCCCGCUGCCAGCAGUGGCUGAGAGCUGCGGGGCUGCCUGCUGACAGCUCCAGCCCUGGGGCACAAAAUGUCACGGAGGUCUCUGGAAGUCAUGGAUUCUGUGACUUCCAUGACAUCUGUGACAUAAUCGUAGCCUUAUUCAUGAGCCACCUAAGCAAGGGGAGGCUAGGUCCCCCAGGAUCACUACUGGCAUUUCAACGUUGCCAAUGGUUAUCCGCCAGUCAGAAAAAAAAGUCCCACCUUAUAGCUUUCUAAAAAGUCCUGUGUUCUUAAAGAUGUGAGUAUCAUGCACCUUCCCUGACCAGCUCACACUGAUGUCAAUCAAGUGUCCCCAGUGAUCCAUCAAUGUUUGCAUAACCACACAAAAGUAGCCCUUCUGCUGAUGCGCUCUAUGGCAAGGUGGUCUAGUGCCAAAAGAGGGAUAUGAGGGCCGUUUAUUGCUCCACCACAGUUCAGGAACCCCAUUGUUGCAAAUCCAUCCACUAUGUCCUGCACAUUGCCAAGAGUCACAGUCCUGCACAGCAGGAAGAGAUUAAUGGCCCUGCACGGAGACUUGCAUUACAGUCACUUGCAAGACAAUGGCCCCUGCAGUGGAUUUUCCCACUCCAAACCGAUUCCCCACUGUUUCCAUGGUGCGAUCACUCACUUCCCCACUGUCAGUGCAGCUCUCGUUUUGGGGUCCCUGCACUGGAGGUCUGGGGCGAGCUUGGCUCACAGAUCUGGGAAUGUGGCCAUGUUCUGCAGCCACUGUUCAUCAUUCCAAGCCUGCAUUACAAUGCAAUCCCACCAGUAAGUACUCGUGUCCAGAAGCAGCACGCCACCAUCUCCAGCUGCUCCGUGAAUGCCAACAACCUUGAAUUGGUGCUCGCUAUAUCUCACAGCAGUCUGUCCUCCAAGGAAUCGUCAUGUUCCCCAUUGAUUUGGUUAUUCUUGAAGCUCUGGACUGCGUGUCCUGUGCUUGCAAUGCUAACAGCAACACUGCAGAACUGUGCAGACUUCCGUGCUUCAGUCAGAGAUGGCGGAUAGCGAGGAGAGCUAUGUAGGUUCGUGGGAUUUUGAAAAAAGGAGCAAAAAUGAUGGGAUAUGAAUGACAUUACGGGAUGGAGACAGUUACAUGCUGGGAAGCUGACCCCUUGCUCCGAGUCACCCCCUGCGCAACUCGUUUAGGCCCCAUCAUGCAUUGCAAAACUUCCCAAUAGACAGUGCACUGGACAGUGGCGGGUUGCACACUGGGACUCCUACCCAUGGUGCACAACAUUGUGCAUCGACAAACGCACUCCUGGUGAGCACAUGCAUCACCGACACAAGGAGCCACGUAUGCACACGGACAAGCAAUAUACUAACAACAGCAGCUAAUGCCAACAUAACUUGGGUCGACUAAAGUUGGUAGUGCACACAUGGCCUUAGAGGAAAGACAGAUAUCAACUGGACUCACUAAAAAUAUCACUUCCCAUGACAAACCGCACUUUCCUUGUAGGGUAAAGGGAAAGAGAGUCUUUCAUCAGAGUCUGUUAGCUCUGACAUGCUUCGCAUCCAAGGCUGCAGGCACCACAGACAUCCUAUCACACUUCUGCAAUGAUUUGUCAAAUCCUAUUAAAUGUGUGUAGCUUGAUUGUCCAAAAGAGCUGUACCAUAUAAACAACUUCUGUGCAAUUCACACUUUCCUGUCAGUCUUUCACAAACACUUUGAAACUGACCGACAGUGCAUCAUCCUCAUCAGGUCUUAAAUGGGGCCUGGGGUAUUUCAAGAGCACUCGCGUAAAUCUAAAAAAGUGACUUGCUCAGUCCAUCUGCUUCAGGCCUCCAUAUGAGAGUCAAGUUUCCACUGAUCAUCAUAAGGAAAGGAAGAGGUAACUUAAAAACAUGGAAGAGAGGGGAGAAAGAGGCACACCAAAGGCAAAGACCAAACAACUCAUCAGUGGGCCUUGAUCCUGGUAUCACUUGUACCAAAUUUAACUACACUAACUUCACACAAGUUACUCCUGACAUAUACCUACAUCAGCAAUAUCGAAAACAAGCCUAGAGACUUUAAGUUCCUGGAAGAGCCUGAUUCAUGAAGUUCCCUAGGCCAGCAGAGUGAAGUUUCAUAAUCAUACGCAGUUCUGAUAGCA